rnacentral:tRNA from 1 species
GGGCCAUUAGCUCAGUGGUUAGAGCAGAGGACUCAUAAUCCUUUGGUCCUAAGUUCAAGUCUUAGAUGGCCCA